rnacentral:rRNA from 1 species
UACGGAGGGUGCAAGCGUUGUCCGGAUUUAUUGGGUUUAAAGGGUGCGUAGGCGCCAUUUAAGUCUGGGGUGAAAGCCCGUUGCUCAACAACGGAACUGCCCUGGAAACUGGAUGGCUUGAGUACAGACGAGGGUGGCGGAAUGGAUGCUGUAGCGGUGAAAUGCAUAGAUAGCAUCCAGAACCCCCGAUUGCGAAGCAGCUGCCUAG